GCGUAGUCGAUGGACAGCAGGUUGAUAUUCCUGCACCCGCGAGUAAAGUGAUGGAGUGACAGAUAGGGUUAACCCAAGUCCUUACUGGAUUGGGCAAGGCAAGCAGGAGAGUGGCGUAGGCAAAUCCGCGUCGGAUACUCAAAGGCUUGACUCAAGCGAACGCGCGAGCAAGUAGUGAAGAGGGCGAUACCAGGUCUCAAGAAAAGCUUCUAGCGAUAAUUUACUAGCGGCCCGUACCAAAACCGACACAGGUGGUUGAGGCGAGUAGCCUAAGGUGAGCGAGAGAACUGUUGCCAAGGAACUCGGCAAAUUGACCCCGUACGUUAGCAAUAAGGGGUGCUCGAAAGAGCCGCAGUGAAUAGGCCCUAGCAACUGUUUAACUAAAACAUAGCUCUCUGCGAAGUCGCAAGACGAAGUAUAGGGGGUGACACCUGCCCGGUGCUGGAAGGUCAAGGGGAUUUGUCAGACGCAAGUCGAAGCAUUGAACCGAAGCCCCAGUGAACGGCGGCCGUAACUAUAACGGUCCUAAGGUAGCGAAAUUCCUUGUCAGGUAAGUUCUGACCCG
rnacentral:rRNA from 1 species